rnacentral:rRNA from 1 species
CGGUCUGUUAGUCAGAUGUGAAAUCCCCGGGCUUAACCUGGGAACUGCAUUUGAAACUGGCAGGCUUGAGUCUUGUAGAGGGGGGUAGAAUUCCAGGUGUAGCGGUGAAAUGCGUAGAGAUCUGGAGGAAUACCGGUGGCGAAGGCGGCCCCCUGGACAAAGACUGACGCUCAGGUGCGAAAGCGUGGUGGAGCAAACAGGAUUAGAUACCCUGGUA